UAACACAUGCAAGUCGAGGGGAAACGACAUCGAAAGCUUGCUUUUGAUGGGCGUCGACCGGCGCACGGGUGAGUAACGCGUAUCCAACCUGCCCACCACUUGGGGAUAACCUUGCGAAAGUAAGACUAAUACCCAAUGAUAUCUCUAGAAGACAUCUGAAAGAGAUUAAAGAUUUACCGGUGAUGGAUGGGGAUGCGUCUGAUUAGCUUGUUGGCGGGGUAACGGCCCACCAAGGCAACGAUCAGUAGGGGUUCUGAGAGGAAGGUCCCCCACAUUGGAACUGAGACACGGUCCAAACUCCUACGGGAGGCAGCAGUGAGGAAUAUUGGUCAAUGGACGAGAGUCUGAACCAGCCAAGUAGCGUGCAGGAUGACGGCCCUAUGGGUUGUAAACUGCUUUUAUAAGGGAAUAAAGUGAGUCUCGUGAGACUUUUUGCAUGUACCUUAUGAAUAAGGACCGGCUAAUUCCGUGCCAGCAGCCGCGGUAAUACGGAAGGUCCGGGCGUUAUCCGGAUUUAUUGGGUUUAAAGGGAGCGUAGGCCGGAGAUUAAGCGUGUUGUGAAAUGUAGAUGCUCAACAUCUGCACUGCAGCGCGAACUGGUUUCCUUGAGUACGCACAAAGUGGGCGGAAUUCGUGGUGUAGCGGUGAAAUGCUUAGAUAUCACGAAGAACUCCGAUUGCGAAGGCAGCUCACUGGAGCGCAACUGACGCUGAAGCUCGAAAGUGCGGG
rnacentral:rRNA from 1 species